AACGAACGCUGGCGGCGUGGAUAAGACAUGCAAGUCGGACGGGACUGUUCGUGUAGCAAUACAUGGACAGUUCAGUGGCGAACGGGUGCGUAACACGUGAGCAACCUGCCGUGAAGUGGGGGAUAGCUCGCCGAAAGGCGAAUUAAUACCGCAUGUGGCCAGGAAGGACAUCCUUCCGACGCCAAAGCCGGGGCAACCUGGCGCUUCCCAAGGGGCUCGCGGCCUAUCAGCUUGUUGGUGAGGUAACGGCCCACCAAGGCUUUGACGGGUAGCUGGUCUGAGAGGACGACCAGCCACACUGGAACUGAGACACGGUCCAGACACCUACGGGUGGCAGCAGUCGAGAAUUUUUCACAAUGGGGGAAACCCUGAUGGAGCGACGCCGCGUGGAGGAUGAAGGUUUUUGGAUUGUAAACUCCUGUCAUUAGAGAACAAGGCGCACGGCCUAACUGCCCGUGCGUUGAUAGUAUCUGAAGAGGAAGAGACGGCUAACUCUGUGCCAGCCGCCGC
rnacentral:rRNA from 1 species